UUUCUCUUCUUUCAUUCGACAAAGAAGCAGAGAGACUGAGUUGUGCAGCCCAGCCACCUCCAACCCACACUGCCAUCGUCGCUGCGACUCCGACCGGCGUGUUGUCACCAAACUCUUCCUAUCUCUUACCUUCGUCAAAUACAGUUCAUAGAACUCACAUGCAAUCAUCCUUGAAGCAGAUCGAAGGAGAAGAAUUCAAUUCCUUCUCUGCAACUCCGAUCGAUUAAUCGAUCUCCAGCCGUCGAUUAAUUUACAACGACGAAGAAGAUGGAAGAUGAGAUUGAGAGGAGAAACUCGGCCAACACUUAUGGAAGUGCUUUCUCGAUGAGGAUGGAUUUUGAGAGGCAAAUUAUUUCCUGGUAUAAAAUCUCUUAUGUUUAUGGAUUGAUGUGGGCUUUCAUUUGUUUUUUUAUUCAAUUAGGGUUUGGUUAUGUAAUGAACUUAAUUGUGUCUCUCUUCCUUUCCAUUGAGAGCAGGAACUAGUGAUUUUUCAAUUGUGAUUAUUUGAUUUUUGUUUGUGAUCGUAAUUGUGUUUAUUAAUUGAGCCUGGUGCUUUGAUGCGAUUGUAUUGUUUUGUAUGUUGGUCUGUGGCUCUAUUUAUGAAGGAAUCUAUGAGUAAGUGCUGCUCAAAACUCGUUUUUCAAUGCUUAUGUGUAUGCCUUAGUUGGUUAUUUUGGCGCUGCUUGCGGUUUUUAUUAAUCUGUUUUUUCUAGUUUAAAGUUGUCUCUACAAUUAGGAACAUGAAUUCAAUUUAACAUCAAUGCAUGGUAAGACUUGUGACUUCAGGUAAAAUAGGUGUUGAGCUAGGCGUGUUUUUGCUCCAAAAAAAGAAGAAGAAGCUAGCCGUGUUGGAAAGGCCAAACUCUUGUUGCUAAUCUAAUUUACGUGGAUAAAAUCCUUGCUUCCUUGCAACAAACUUUUGACACUCUUUAAAUGAACUAUUCUUUGUCUUUGUUGCACUAAAGUAUUUACAAAUUAUAAAGUACUUACAAGUUAUUCUCCUUUGAUUUUUAUUAAAAGAGUGGUGCCAUAUAUUCAUCUUUGCUUUUUAUCUCUGCAUCAAGAUCUUUGUUGAUUAUGGAUUUGCUAUCUUUUCAGUGUGGAUGAUUCAUUGGUGUGAAGGGAGUUUCUCAACUUGAACAUGCAACAGUGGCCUUCCUUUCCUUUUUAUGUCCUGAAAAUGUGAUUGCUCUUCUGAGUCAGUUUGAACAUGAUAACAUGGUUCAGUACUAUGUCACACAAAAGGGAAUUUGAUCUAAUGCGGAACUUUAUGUGGUUGAAGUCAAAGGCACACAUCAUCAAUGCUCGUUAAUGCCAAGGUUAGUAAAUCCAUUUUUUGUGAAUCUUAGUUGUAGUCAUAGGGUUUAAUUCAGUGCUCUUUGAAAUUAUAACUAUUUAUCAAUUUGACCUUUCGUUUGUCCCAAAACGUAGUAUCAGGGUUUGUCUAUAUGGUUGUUUGUCUUUCAUGGUUGAUUUGGAUUGCUAGUCGAUCUUAUGCUUUUGUGUCUCUAACUUGGACAAGUAUGCAGCUGCACUACAUGAACUUACAACUAAUUGAGUGAAGUUUACUAAAGAUUGCUUCCUGAAUAUGAUACCCUUAAGAUGCUUUCAACUUUUGUUUUCUUUAGGGUAGUUGUAUGAUGUAGUGGAUUUAUAUGAUGAUUCUUGAUGUAGUAGAAUUAUAUGAUGAAAUCUGAAUGGAAGUAUUAAUAUUAUGUCUCCCUUGUAUAAACAUAUAUAUAUUUGAU